AUUGAACGCUGGCGGCAUGCCUUACACAUGCAAGUCGAACGGCAGCACGGGGGCAACCCUGGUGGCGAGUGGCGAACGGGUGAGUAAUACAUCGGAACGUGCCCAGUAGUGGGGGAUAGCCCGGCGAAGGCCGGAUUAAUACCGCAUACGACCUACGGGUGAAAGUGGGGGAUCGCAAGACCUCGCGCUAUCGGAGCGGCCGAUGUCAGAUUAGGUUGUUGGUGGGGUAAAAGCCUACCAAGCCGGCGAUCUGUAGCUGGUCUGAGAGGACGACCAGCCACACUGGGACUGAGACACGGCCCAGACUCCUACGGGAGGCAGCAGUGGGGAAUUUUGGACAAGUGGGCGCAAGCCUGAUCCAGCCAUGCC
rnacentral:rRNA from 1 species